AGGGCCGCAGCAUAUCCUGAGUUGGAAGGGGCCGCAGGGAUCGUGGAUAAGCAUUGGGUAUUUCCAGCAUCUAGCCAGAGAGCGUGCAUCUAACCCUCUCCGUCAUGCUACCACAGGCCUGUUGUGGAACGUGACAUCAUUCAGGCUGAGAGCUGAGGCCGUUCAGCCUGGAGAAGGCUCAAGGGAAAUAUGAGAGCAGCUGUUCAGUGCUAAAAUGGGGGAUGUAAGAAGGAAAGGGAUGGGUUCUUUGCCAGGGUCUGUUGGGUUAAGACAAGGGUGGCGAUGGCUUUGGGACAGUUUGGCCUGGUUCUGUGACUAAAUGGGGCAGGGGGAUCUGUGGAUCCAUGUCCCAGGAGAAGGGGAGAAAGAGGAAAGGUAGGGAGAUGGGUCUGGGAGCAAAACAGUGGCAGUGAGCUGAGGGAGAAAAUGGAUUUACUAAAUAUUAUAUCAAAAUUCAAGGUAACACAAUAUUAUACAAUAUAGUUGGAAUUGAAUCUAGUAAAUCAAAUAAAUGGAGAUUGUACUCAAAACCAAAACCACAGUUGUGCUCAAGGCAAGGUGGCUAGGGAGCAUACACCUCAGAGAAGGGGCAGUCUUGUGACUUGUGGGUAGUUUUAUCUUUCUCUCUAAACAGCAAACAGAAACAGAACAGUCAGUACUUCUUUUCUUCUGAGAAGUGCAUACCCGGAACUAUCAACAAUCUAGAAAACUGAAGUAUGAACUCAGAGUGUAGUAUGUGUUGUUAAGAUGUGGAGUACUGAUAAAAAAAAUCAUAGAACCAUGACUAAGGGGAAGUAGUUUCAAACUAAAAGAGACAUGAUUUAUACUGUAUAUAAGGAAGGAGGUUAUUACAGUCAAGGUGGUGAAGGAAUGGUACAGGUUACCCAGAGAGCUGCUGGAUGCCCCAUUACUGGACAUAUGCAAGGCUAGGCUGGAUGGGGCUCUGAGCACCUGAUGGAGCUGUAGGUGUUCAUUGCAGGGACUAGAUGACCUUUAAUGGUCUCUUCCAACUGAAAUGAUUCUGUGAUACUAUGAUUCUGUAAUGUAGUAUGAAAUAUUCCUUCUGUUGUCUAAUGGUGUUUCCAGUCUUGGAGAUGGUCUUGCCAACAAAAUCCAGGAUUGAAACUUGCCAACUCGAAUGACAGGUUAGAAAGUUGUCAUUACUUUAUUGCAGCACUAGGUGCAUGAGGGAUCACUCCUAGCAUGCAUGCACGUGAGCUGAAGCACGUUGACUAUAUUCAUUGUACAAAUAUUUGUACAAUUUCCAUGAAAUACCCAUCAAUUCUGAGAACUGCUAAACAUAUUAAAAUCUAAUACUACACAUCCACUGUGUUAAUUAGGGGUUCUUGCAAGGGGUCAUUGGUGGUCAUGGGGUUGCAUUGGGAGAUACUAUCCAUCCAAAAAGUUGUGUGCAAAGUUGCUCAGGUCCCAUGUUUGUCAAGAAAUCAUUUAUGUAAAGUCAGUUGCUGACUAAGUUUCUAAUUAUCUCAUCUACCUUGUUAUGAUGCCUAUAUUAUCAGCUCUAGCAGAGUACAGUAUAUCUGCCCACAGCUUAUGGAAUGUUGAGACUUUGCCUUUAGGGUCCAAAUGUCCUGCUUAUCUGGCAAAAAUAACCUUAAACAGAAUGUCAGUUUGCUGAAGACCCUGAAUUAAUUGCUGCAGGCUCUGAAUUUAUUGCCAGGCAUCACAGGGGUGCCUUCGAAACUCAGCUAUUUUGUGUUUCUAUGUGAUUCUGUGAAAAGCUUUCUUGAUUUGGUCGAAUUAUUGCCCUCUACUGAAAUUUAUGCAGGUUCUGGGUGGAUACUAAAUUUCACCCUCUAAUGAUCAUGUCCAAUGGUAGCUACAGAUUGGUAACUUUGUUGUAAAAGAUGGUUAUGUUACUUAAACAGAACUUUAUCUGAAUCGGUGUUGGCUAUUGCCAAUAACUGUACUGUGUUUCAGAUAUUCAGCAACUCCGAGAAUAAUCUUCUCCAUACUUUUUAAUCAGCAGUGAAGGGAGACCAGUCUCUUUGUUUAUACUCUUCUUGCAAAUCAAUACAUUUACCAACUUUCAGUCAACAGGGUCCUCUCUGUAUUCCCAAGACCAUCUAAAAAAUAACUGGGAAAGGUUUUGUGAGCUCUUUCAGCAGCCUGAAAUUAAUCCCAUCAGGCCCUUGGUGCAAAUCCCUAUGAAGAAUAUUGCUGAAGGUAGGGGUGAUGGUAAUUCAGAAUAACCAGAACUGUAAUGGCUUACCAGGAGACAGCAAAAGCCCAGGCUGAAAGACACUUUUCAAGUGGGAAAUAAAUGAGUAGUAGCACUCCUUAGGGACUGUGAAGAGUUUUUGGACAUUAUAAGUGCUAUAUACUCAUUAAUAAGAUAAAGACAAGAAUUUGAUACGCACCCAUGAAAUUUGAAGAUGACACUAAGCUGGAAGAUAUUAAUGAAUAAUGAUCUUGACUAGAAUGAGAGAAAUGAGAUGAAAUGGAACAAUGUAAAGUACAAAAUCGGUAACCAAGAGAAUGGUAAACCUUUGCUAUAAACUCAUCAGUUAGACUAAAUGAGGAAGAAAGAGUUCUCUCUUAGAAGCACUGAGAUAAUUUGAAGACUUCUUCAGAUCUGAUUUCUAUGUUUUGCCUCAGGGUCUAAGCCUAGAGUGAGAUAGUCACAGAUCUGAAGCAGAGAGGCAUUUCUCUGUUUUCUGGUGUGAACUAUAUACCGGUCAUAUGUUCACCUGGAUUUGAUCCCUAAAGGGGUCCUCUCUGUGCCGUACCUAUACUUUCCACUUCUAAAAUAUAAAUAAUAAAACAAUGGAAGGAGACUGUAAUACUUACUCAUGAAACAAUUAGGAAAUCAAAUCUGAAAGUGAGAGAGGGAGUUUCAAAGAGAUAAACUGUCAGCGACUAGUCAUAUGAAAUAACAGUGACACUGCACUGAAAGCAGCGCAGAAGAAAAAAAGAAAACCUGAGCUCAGGAACAAGAGCUGAAGAAAUGACCCUAAGCUAAUAAUGACCUGGAAGCAAGGGGCCUGGAUGUAUUGGGACGGUGAAGUGAACAGGCUGGCCAAGUGAUAAAGGAGACACCGGCCUGGGUGAGUGGCUCUUUGUAAAAUCCUCCUGUGGCUCAGUGCUGGUAGAACACCAUGGACAUACCUACAUUUCGUCUUUCAGCAUCUCAUAAUGUGACCACCUACUGAUACCACACACUGUGAAAAUCACAGCAAACUGUUUGAAGACAAACUGUCUUUGCAGAGGAGGCCUCACUACCAGCAGCUUCAGCCCAGCUCCUGUUGACUACGGAUCUGGAAAACACACCAUUUUUUAAUAU